rnacentral:SRP_RNA from 1 species
GCCAGGCGUGGUGGUGUAUGACUGUAGUCCCAGCUACUCGGGAGGCUGAGGUAGGAGGAUCAUUUGAGCUUAUGAGUUCGAGGCUACAGUGAGCUAUGAUUGUGCCACUGUACUCCAGCCUGGGCAACAGAGUGAGAUCCUGUCUCUU